CAAGAUUUAGUUUAUAGAAAAUAUCUUAUUUACAUUAAGAUGAUUUAAAUGCAAAUUUUAAUUCUUGA
rnacentral:tRNA from 1 species